GCCCGUGCCAACUAACACCAGCGCGAGUGAGAAAUUCAGAAGAUGAAGACCAAAAACCAUCAGCUGCCAAACCAGGUUUAUUUUGUUUUCCCAAAUCUGUCUGUGAGCCUCUGAUUCAUUCAACUUCUGAUUCCUUGGAAAUCGCCUCUGGAGACAACACUGAAGAUUUCUACACAUGUGAUCCAUCUUCUUCUUGGCUGCACAGUCCUCCGCGCUGGAAUUGGGGCACAACAGAAGGACCGUCCCCGGUGCAUUUAUCCCUGUUUAUACCAAGUGCAAGGAAGAGCUACCUUCAAACUACCAUGGCCCAGUAG
rnacentral:lncRNA from 1 species